GGAGGGUUCGCAUAGUGGCCGAGUGCAGGCGCCUUGAAAGCGCCCGAGGUUGACGCCUCCGUGGGUUCAAAUCCCACACCCUCCG
rnacentral:tRNA from 1 species